rnacentral:rRNA from 1 species
UACGUAGGGUCCAAGCGUUAAUCGGAAUUACUGGGCGUAAAGCGUGCGUAGGCGGUUUCGCAAGUCCGAUGUGAAAUCCCCGGGCUUAACCUGGGAACUGCGUUGGAAACUACGAAGCUAGAGUGCGGCAGAGGGGGGUGGAAUUCCAGGUGUAGCAGUGAAAUGCGUAGAGAUCUGGAGGAACACCGAUGGCGAAGGCAGCCCCCUGGGCUAGCACUGACGCUCAUACACGAAAGCGUGGGGAGCAAACAGG